rnacentral:rRNA from 1 species
GGUGGUUUGUCGCGUCUGCUGUGAAAAUCCGAGGCUCAACCUCGGACUUGCAGUGGGUACGGGCAGACUAGAGUGUGGUAGGGGAGACUGGAAUUCCUGGUGUAGCGGUGGAAUGCGCAGAUAUCAGGAGGAACACCGAUGGCGAAGGCAGGUCUCUGGGCCAUUACUGACACUGAGAAGCGAAAGCAUGGGGAGCGAACAGGAUUAGAUACCCUGGUAGUCCAUGCCGUAAACGUUGGGAACUAGGUGUGGGUCUCAUUCCACGAGAUCCGUGCCGCAGCUAACGCAUUAAGUUCCCCGCCUGGGGAGUACGGCCGCAAGGCUAAAACUCAAAGGAAUUGACGGGGGCCCGCACAAGCGGCGGAGCAUGCGGAUUAAUUCGAUGCAACGCGAAGAACCUUACCAAGGCUUGACAUACACCGGAAUCACUCAGAGAUGGGUGCGUCUUCGGACUGGUGUACAGGUGGUGCAUGGUUGUCGUCAGCUCGUGUCGUGAGAUGUUGGGUUAAGUCCCGCAACGAGCGCAACCCUCGUUCUAUGUUGCCAGCACGUGAUGGUGGGGACUCAUAGGAGACUGCCGGGGUCAACUCGGAGGAAGGUGGGGAUGACGUCAAAUCAUCAUGCCCCUUAUGUCUUGGGCUUCACGCAUGCUACAAUGGCCGGUACAAAGGGCUGCGAUACCGCGAGGUGGAGCGAAUCCCAAAAAACCGGUCUCAGUUCGGAUUGGGGUCUGCAACUCGACCCCAUGAAGUCGGAGUCGCUAGUAAUCGCAGAUCAGCAACGCUGCGGUGAAUACGUUCCCGGGCCUUGUACACACCGCCCGUCAAGUCACGAAAGUCGGUAACACCCGAAGCCGGUGGCCCAACCCUUGUGGGGGGAGCCGUCGAAGGUG